AAUAGAUACCCGGGUAGUCCAUGCCGUAAACGUUGGGCACUAGGUGUGGGGCCAGUUCCACUGGUUCUGUGCCGCAGCUAACGCAUUAAGUGCCCCGCCUGGGGAGUACGGCCGCAAGGCUAAAACUCAAAGGAAUUGACGGGGGCCCGCACAAGCGGCGGAGCAUGCGGAUUAAUUCGAUGCAACGCGAAGAACCUUACCAAGGCUUGACAUGUACGAGAAAGCCCCAGAGAUGGGGUUCUCUUUGGACACUCGUACACAGGUGGUGCAUGGUUGUCGUCAGCUCGUGUCGUGAGAUGUUGGGUUAAGUCCCGCAACGAGCGCAACCCUUAUCCUAUGUUGCCAGCGGGUUAUGCCGGGGACUCAUGGGAGACUGCCGGGGUCAACUCGGAGGAAGGUGGGGAUGACGUCAAAUCAUCAUGCCCCUUAUGUCUUGGGCUUCACGCAUGCUACAAUGGCCGGUACAGAGGGCUGCGAUACCGUGAGGUGGAGCGAAUCCCAAAAAGCCGGUCUCAGUUCGGAUCGGGGUCUG
rnacentral:rRNA from 1 species